UACAAUUGAAGGACGACGACCAUUCCGAGGUAGUUUUCAUCAUUUCAGAGACAUCUGGAGGCAGGUUGGCUCACCGGAAAGGAAACUUCGUUGUCAUAGCACCGUCUAAGACCAAUUAUUGGCUACAAUAGGAGGACUACGACCAUUCCGAGGUAGUUUUCAUCAUUGCAGAGAUGUCUGGAGGCAAGUUGGCUCACCAGAAAGGAAACUUUGUUGUCAUAGCACCAUUCAAGACCAAUUAUUGACUUCAAUCGGAGGCCGAUGACUAUCCCGGGGUAGUUCUCAGUACGUUGGAGCCAUCUGGAGGCAAGUGUGGUCACAAAAUAGAGAACUCGAAUAUAAUAGCACCAUUCAAGACCAAUGAUUGACUAUGAUAUGGGGACGAUGACAAUACUCUGAUUAUCUUCAGCAUUUGAGUUUCCUCUGGAGAUCCCUCAUUGCCUUGCAGAAGUGUCUCAACACCUCUCGCGGAUGUGUCUCAACGUCAUUCUCAGUCGUCGAAAUGGAUGGGCAUUGGCUCCUUUAUGACUGCCACUCGUGCAUUCUUCAUAGAACUUCUGUAUCCAUUCAAACGCAUUUCUUUGCGAGAAAACAUUUACAUUUCCAUAAUACUGUGCACAAAGUUUUUUUUAUGGAUAUCGGUAUAUUCAUAUAUAUGGAAUUACUGGACACCCCUUCAUAUCACGAGAACGAUGACUGAUUCACUUGUACAAAUUAAGCAUGGGACAGCCAUUCUUCCUAGCACCUCAGUCCCAACUGAACUGAUUUAACAGAUUCAAGCCUGCACAGCAGUGACUGGAGAUACAGCAACCUUGUAUGAAAAGUGCCGAUAAGACAGUGCAGCCAACAGAAGGUUGCAUCUCUGCUCCCACGGUCCUGCUCGACAGUGACUGAGACGUGCAACACAGUUGCGCCCAACUUCCCUCUAUGCUACAAGCACCCCAGGAGCUACUAUCGCCCGAAGAUGUCACAGGUGGUCAUGAUUCUUUGAGGCAGCGGAAUUUCACCGCAGUGCAUCUUUAACACCUUCAGUUUCUUUUCUACUGCAAGCCUGGUACUACAGCUUGUGGCCCGUGUAGAAGAAUAGAGGGGUGAAACCAAGGCUCAAGUGACUGUGGACUCAUGGCCCUCAGACAGCUAGAGCACCAGACCAGGCACAGACCAGAGCCAUUUAUGCUCCACUUCUAGAGGACAUGUUGCAGUUUGAAACUACCAAGACUCAUGGAAGCUGCUGACAGGAGGCUGUUGAAGCCGUGGUCGCAAGGCACCCAUGACAUUGAAGUCUUCCAAACAAGGCACUAUGAAGGCAUGACUUGUAGCGGCACUGGAGCAAGCGACACGGUCCGGGUUGGUGACCAACCCAAAACCGCCCUCGGCCACUGGUGUUCUGCCGGUGCCAGGAUCCCAGGUCGGUGGCCGACCCAAAGCCACCCUCGGCCACUGGCGUCCUGCCGGUGCCACGAUAUCAUCUCGGUGGCCGACCCAAAGCCGCCAUCGGCCAUUGGGGUCCUGCUGGUGCCAGGAUUUCAGGUAGGUGGCCGACCCAAAUCCGCCCUCGGCCACUGGUGUUU